CAAUAGCGUAUACUAAAGUUGUUGCAGUUAAAAAGCUCGUAGUUGGACGUUUGAGGUCUGCCAUGGGUCUGCCUGCGGGUAUGAACCGAUGUGCGGGACUCUUCUGCCUGGAGAACGUAUUGGCCGUUAACUCGGUUCGGUGCGGGACCCUGGCCGUUUACUUUGAAAAAAUUAGAGUGUUCAAAGCAGGCGACUGCCCUGAAUAGCUCAGCAUGGAAUAAUAAGAUAGGACUGCGGUUUUAUUUUGUUGGUUUCUAAAGCCGAAGUAAUGAUUAAUAGGGACAGCUGGGGGCAUUUCUACUCCAUUGUCAGAGGUGAAAUUCUUGGAUUUAUGGAAGAGAAACUAGUGCGAAAGCAUUUGUCAAGAAUGUUUUCAUUAA
rnacentral:rRNA from 1 species